GGUCAAAAGUAAAAGGGAAAGAAAUGUCGCCGGAAGCGUUCGGUUGAGAGUUGUAGGAAAUGAAUCUUUUUCUUUUACUGAGAUUCUUUCAUUCCUACACCUCUCAUACCAAAGGUUUGCGAACUUUCCUCCCCUUUCCUUUUGUCU
rnacentral:pre_miRNA from 1 species